UGAGGAAUUUUGCGCAAUGGGGGAAACCCUGACGCAGCAACGCCGCGUGAGUGAUGAAGGCUUUCGGGUCGUAAAGCUCUGUCAAGUGGGAAGAACCUGCAUUUGGCUAAUAUCCAUUUGCACUGACGGUACCACUGAAGGAAGCACCGGCUAACUCCGUGCCAGCAGCCGCGGUAACACGGGGGGUGCAAGCGUUACUCGGAAUCAUUGGGCGUAAAGGGCGCGCAGGCGGCCUGGUUAGUCAGAUGUGAAAGCCCGGGGCUCAACCCCGGAAGUGCAUUUGAUACUGCCAGACUUGAGUAUGGGAGAGGAAAGUGGAAUUCCUGGUGUAGAGGUGAAAUUCGUAGAUAUCAGGAGGAACACCGGUGGCGAAGGCGACUUUCUGGACCAAUACUGACGCUGAGGCGCGAAGGCGUGGGGAGCAAACAGGAUUAGAUACCCCCGUAGUCC
rnacentral:rRNA from 1 species